rnacentral:ncRNA from 1 species
UGGGGAACACUUAGAACCCCACGUACAGAAGUGUUAAUAGCGGUGCUUUUGGCCGAACAUCGUGGUUAGUGAAUC